GGUGAGAUGGCCGAGCGGUCUAAGGCGCCAGACUAAGGAGACCAGCGUAUUUGAUGCGCACGUAAAAUCUGGUCCGAAAGGGCGUGGGUUCGAAUCCCACUCUCAUCA
rfam:Gymnopus luxurians FD-317 M1 unplaced genomic scaffold GYMLTscaffold_9, whole genome shotgun sequence.